rnacentral:lncRNA from 1 species
GACGCCUCCACCAUCUACGGCCUCGCCGCCGUCGCUCUCCUGCUCCUCAGCCAGGCCGUCCUCAACGGCGUCACUCGAUGCCUAUGCUGCGGCAAAGGGCUUGUUUCCGGUUGCUCCGCCACUUGCGCCGUCGUAUCCUUCAUCCUCUCCUGGUAACAAUCAAUUUAAGUGAAAUAAUCGCACUCUUCUAAUUUCGCAUCUAAACAAUUAAACCCCUACGAAUUCAUCUAAUUAAUUGUAGAAACAAAAAAUUAAACAUAAUUUUGAACCAUGGUUUUCUGAAUAUACUUUCCCUUUCACUUCAGUUACAUCAAUUGUUGUGAAUUGAUUGGGCAUUUUUCCGUCAGAAGAUAAAAGUGGAUGAAGAUUGAAAAGUGUUUGAUUUUGAUUUUUUGAAUUAUUACUACUGUGAAAUCAGGAUUAGUUUUCUGGGAGCAGAGGCGUGUUUGUUAGCAGGGUCUGCGAAGAAUGCAUACCACACCAAGUACCGAGGGUACUUUGCGAAGCACGAUUUGUCUUGUGCUACCCUGCGCAAAGGUGUGUUUGCUGCUGGAGCUGCCUUGACCUUGCUCUCCAUGCUGACCUCCAUUUUGUAUUAUUGGGCACACUCCAAGGCUGAUACUGG